rnacentral:rRNA from 1 species
UACGUAGGGGGCAAGCGUUGUCCGGAAUCAUUGGGCGUAAAGAGCGCGUAGGCGGCCCGAUAAGUCCGCUGUGAAAGUCAAGGGCUCAACCCUUGAAUGCCGGUGGAUACUGUCGGGCUAAGUCGGCGAAGAGGCGAGUGGAAUUCCUGGUGUAGCGGUGGAAUGCGCAGAUAUCAGGAGGAACACCAAUAGCGAAAGCAGCUCGCUGGGACGUUACUGACACUGAGGCGCGAAAGCGUGGGGAGCGAACAGG